GAUGAACGCUGGCGGCGUGCCUAAUACAUGCAAGUCGAGCGAACGGACGAGAAGCUUGCUUCUCUGAUGUUAGCGGCGGACGGGUGAGUAACACGUGGAUAACCUACCUAUAAGACUGGGAUAACUUCGGGAAACCGGAGCUAAUACCGGAUAAUAUUUUGAACCGCAUGGUUCAAAAGUGAAAGACGGUCUUGCUGUCACUUAUAGAUGGAUCCGCGCUGCAUUAGCUAGUUGGUAAGGUAACGGCUUACCAAGGCAACGAUGCAUAGCCGACCUGAGAGGGUGAUCGGCCACACUGGAACUGAGACACGGUCCAGACUCCUACGGGAGGCAGCAGUAGGGAAUCUUCCGCAAUGGGCGAAAGCCUGACGGAGCAACGCCGCGUGAGUGAUGAAGGUCUUCGGAUCGUAAAACUCUGUUAUUAGGGAAGAACAUAUGUGUAAGUAACUGUGCACAUCUUGACGGUACCUAAUCAGAAAGCCACGGCUAACUACGUGCCAGCAGCCGCGGUAAUACGUAGGUGGCAAGCGUUAUCCGGAAUUAUUGGGCGUAAAGCGCGCGUAGGCGGUUUUUUAAGUCUGAUGUGAAAGCCCACGGCUCAACCGUGGAGGGUCAUUGGAAACUGGAAAACUUGAGUGCAGAAGAGGAAAGUGGAAUUCCAUGUGUAGCGGUGAAAUGCGCAGAGAUAUGGAGGGACACCAGUGGCGAAGGCGACUUUCUGGUCUGUAACUGACGCUGAUGUGCGAAAGCGUGGGGAUCAAACAGGAUUAGAUACCCUGGUAGUCCACGCCGUAAACGAUGAGUGCUAAGUGUUAGGGGGUUUCCGCCCCUUAGUGCUGCAGCUAACGCAUUAAGCACUCCGCCUGGGGAGUACGACCGCAAGGUUGAAACUCAAAGGAAUUGACGGGGACCCGCACAAGCGGUGGAGCAUGUGGUUUAAUUCGAAGCAACGCGAAGAACCUUACCAAAUCUUGACAUCCUUUGACAACUCUAGAGAUAGAGCUUUCCCCUUCGGGGGACAAAGUGACAGGUGGUGCAUGGUUGUCGUCAGCUCGUGUCGUGAGAUGUUGGGUUAAGUCCCGCAACGAGCGCAACCCUUAAGCUUAGUUGCCAUCAUUAAGUUGGGCACUCUAAGUUGACUGCCGGUGACAAACCGGAGGAAGGUGGGGAUGACGUCAAAUCAUCAUGCCCCUUAUGAUUUGGGCUACACACGUGCUACAAUGGACAAUACAAAGGGCAGCGAAACCGUGAGGUCAAGCAAAUCCCAUAAAGUUGUUCUCAGUUCGGAUUGUAGUCUGCAACUCGACUACAUGAAGCUGGAAUCGCUAGUAAUCGUAGAUCAGCAUGCUACGGUGAAUACGUUCCCGGGUCU
rnacentral:rRNA from 1 species